CGUAGGGUGCGAGCGUUGUCCGGAAUUAUUGGGCGUAAAGAGCUCGUAGGCGGCUUGUCACGUCGGAUGUGAAAGCUCGGGGCUUAACCCCGAGUCUGCAUUCGAUACGGGCUAGCUAGAGUGUGGUAGGGGAGAUCGGAAUUCCUGGUGUAGCGGUGAAAUGCGCAGAUAUCAGGAGGAACACCGGUGGCGAAGGCGGAUCUCUGGGCCAUUACUGACGCUGAGGAGCGAAAGCGUGGGAGCGAACAGGAUU
rnacentral:rRNA from 1 species